UACGGGGGGGGCAAGCGUUGUUCGGAAUUACUGGGCGUAAAGGGCUCGUAGGCGGCCAACUAAGUCGGACGUGAAAUCCCUCGGCUUAACCGGGGAACUGCGUCCGAUACUGGAUGGCUUGAGAUUGGGAGAGGGAUGCGGAAUUCCAGGUGUAGCGGUGAAAUGCGUAGAUAUCUGGAGGAACACCGGUGGCGAAGGCGGCAUUCUGGACCGAUAUUGACGCUGAGGAGCGAAAGCCAGGGGAGCAAACGGG
rnacentral:rRNA from 1 species